rnacentral:rRNA from 1 species
AUUGAACGCUGGCGGCAGGCCUAACACAUGCAAGUCGAACGGUAACAGGAAGCAGCUUGCUGCUUCGCUGACGAGUGGCGGACGGGUGAGUAAUGUCUGGGAAACUGCCUGAUGGAGGGGGAUAACUACUGGAAACGGUAGCUGAUACCGCAUAACGUCGCAAGACCAAAGAGGGGGACCUUAGGGCCUCUUGCCAUCGGAUGUGCCCAGAUGGGAUUAGCUAGUAGGUGGGGUAACGGCUCACCUAGGCGACGAUCCCUAGCUGGUCUGAGAGGAUGACCAGCCACACUGGAACUGAGACACGGUCCAGACUCCUACGGGAGGCAGCAGUGGGGAAUAUUGCACAAUGGGCGCAAGCCUGAUGCAGCCAUGCCGCGUGUAUGAAGAAGGCCUUCGGGUUGUAAAGUACUUUCAGCGGGGAGGAAGGGAGUAAAGUUAAUACCUUUGCUCAUUGACGUUACCCGCAGAAGAAGCACCGGCUAACUCCGUG